UUCUUAUCCAGAGCGGCGGAGGGACUGGCCCUAUGAAGCCCGGCAACCAUCACGAAAGUGGAAGGUGCCAAUUCCAACAGAGCGUAUUCGUACGCUUUGACAGAUAAGAG
rnacentral:ncRNA from 2 species